CCUUGGAUUCCUGGGCUGUGUACUUGAAGUAGUUCUGGGGAUGCGCCAGCACGUCGAAGAGGGCCUUGAUCAGCUUCUUGUCCUAGAGGUCACGAUGCCUCUUCCCGGGGCUGCGAGGAAAAUGACCCGCACUGGCGUGAGCGGAGAACCUCUCCUCAGCGGUGCUCAGUACAGUGCGGCACUGGCUGCCACCCUGGGCAGAAACUAUGGAGCAGAGGUGAGGCCUGGCAGAGGUCUGGUUCCUGACAGAGUCCCCAGAGCCUGGCCCAGGGAAGGUGCUCAGCAAAUGGCGACCACCACCUGCUGGCGCGUGAGAGCUCCCUGCCCUGUUGACUGUGACUGCAUCUGCUGUGUCUGGGGUGGACCUGUCCUGGCACACACUCAUCUCUGCGUACACACCCACCACACCCCACACCACACACCCACUCACCACACACUCACCCCCACACCCACCACACCCCCCUCACCACAAACAUCCCCACCCCCACUCACCACACACACCCCUAUAUACACACCACACACCCUCACCACACACUCACCCCACCUCUAUUCACACCUCCACCCCCACUCACCACACACACCCCCAUACAACCACACCCCCACCACACCCCCCUCACCACACACCCUAUAUACAUACCACACACCCACUCACUACACAUCUUCCCCACACCUCUAUUCACCCCACACACCCACACACACCACACACCCUCACCUCCAUUGACCGUACACACCCCCAUACACACCACACAUCCACCACACCCCCACCCACUACACACACCACCUCCAUUCACCACACACCCCCCCAAACACACCACACCCCCACUGACUACACCCCACACACCCACUCAACACACACCCCUACACACCCAGCACACACACCCCUACAUACCCCUACAUACACACUAUACACACCCACUCACACACCCCAGUCAAACCCACACACCCCUACACACACACCACAGUCACCACACACACUGAACACCUCCAAACUCACCACACAUGCCUCCACAAACACACCACACAGCACACUCCCCCACCCCCCCCACACACACACGCGUGCCCUGAACCCACACCCUGGAGACAGAUGCUCCUGCCCUCCUCUGUGCUGUGGCGGCAGGGACUAAAUAUUCACAAAACAAACCUAAAGUGAGUGCUGGUGGGCGCCAGGAAGGAGGGGCACGCGGGACCUAAGGGGCUGCAAAGGGUGUGCCCAGGUCAGGGGGUCCGGGCAGGCCGCCCAGAGUACGACAGGAUGUCCCAGCUGAGGGCGGAAGGAUGGGGGGAAAGAGGUGGCGGAAAGAAGAAUGGGCCGAGAGGCUCUGCUGCGUGUGAGGAGCUGGGAGCUGCUGUGGAGGAGGAUGGCCCUCCGGCUGAGGUUUGUGUCCUCAGAGCAGUGUCAGGACGCUUCCAGUUUGGGAGCGAUGCUCCCAGGGCGGAGCUGGGGGGACAGGGAUUGGGGGGAGAGAGCCCAGGACGCAUCCCUGGUUUCUGCCCAAGCAGCUUGAGGAGGAAAUCAGGAGCCGAGGGCGGCAGCAUGUGACUGGCAGACUAUGGGGAGACUCAAGUGAAUCUUCCCGAACUCUGCAAACCAUCCCUUUCUCAGAAGAGGUGACAGCGGGAGCGUUCCAGCCCUGCCCUUGUCCUCCACACCCCAGGGCUCCUGGGCUGACAGUGCUGCUGCCCAGGGCUGAGCUGGGUGAGUCCCGGGUCCCCGGGCCUCUGGCCAGUACCCACCAUGUGACACACCAGGCGGCCCUGCCUCUCCAGGCUGGAAGCAGGAAGAGGAGGGAGCCUAGUCCCAGCGGCAGGGGGGCUCCAAGUGACAAUGGCACUGG